GUGUCAGCCGCCGCGGUAAGACGGAGGGGGCUAGCGUUGUUCGGAAUUACUGGGCGUAAAGCGCGCGUAGGCGGAUGUGCAAGUUGGAGGUGAAAGCCCGGGGCUCAACCUCGGAAUUGCCUUCAAAACUGCACAUCUAGAGGCCGGGAGAGGGUAGCGGAAUUCCCAGUGUAGAGGUGAAAUUCGUAGAUAUUGGGAAGAACACCGGUGGCGAAGGCGGCUACCUGGACCGGUCCUGACGCUGAGGUGCGAAAGCGUGGGGAGCAAACAGGAGUAGAUACCCUGGUAGUCCACGCCGUAAACGAUGGGUGCUAGCUGUUGGGGAGCCUAGCUCUUCAGUGGCGCAGCUAACGCGUUAAGCACCCCGCCUGGGGAGUACGCUCGCAAGAGUGAAACUUAAAUGAAUUGACGGGG
rnacentral:rRNA from 1 species